rnacentral:rRNA from 3 species
UACGUAGGGUGCGAGCGUUGUCCGGAAUUAUUGGGCGUAAAGAGCUCGUAGGCGGUGUGUCGCGUCGGCCGUGAAAACCUGGGGCUCAACUCUGGGCGUGCGGUCGAUACGGGCAUCACUUGAGUUCGGCAGGGGAGACUGGAAUUCCUGGUGUAGCGGUGAAAUGCGCAGAUAUCAGGAGGAACACCGGUGGCGAAGGCGGGUCUCUGGGCCGAUACUGACGCUGAGGAGCGAAAGCAUGGGUAGCGAACAGG